UUCAACUUGAUUCGAUUUUUUCAUUCCGCCUCCUCCCUUCUCUCAGACUCCCUCUCACACUGCCUCUCUCAAUCACUUUUGCCUCUCUCUUCCAGAUUUAUCACUCGAUCUCUCUCAGUCACUCUCUCUGUCUCAGCCGCUCUCUCUCAGUCACUCACUCUCUCUCUCUUACCGCGCUCUCUGUCAGCCACUGUCUCUCAAUCACUCACGCUCUCUCUUAAACACUCACUCUCGUCUCCCUCAACCGGUUUCUCUCUCUCUCUCUCUCUCUCAGCCGAUUUUUCUCACCCGCUCUCUCUCUUUCCAGAUUUUUCUCACCCGAUCUCUCAGUCACUCAGUCUCUCUGUGUUUCUCUCACCCGUUCUUUCUGAGUCUCUCUCGCUCUCUCUCAGUUUGAGAAUUGAUUUUGAGAUCAUAGGAAACGAUUGGCUUGCUGUAGAGGUGCAAAUUUAUUUGAGGAAUAUGAAACUCAUGGAAUUGUAUGUGUAUGUGUAAUGGAAAUUUAUUUGUUGUCAUUUGGAUUUUCUUUUGAACUUUGCAAAAAUGCAGAUUGUGAUUGAGAUUACUCUCACAAUCUGCUAUGGUCUGUAAUAAUUAUUGGAUUAUUUGGACAUGUGUGGUGGAUGAUGAUUUUCUUAGGUUUUAAGGGUGGUUUUAGUAUUUGAAUGA